rfam:Rhodotorula sp. JG-1b unplaced genomic scaffold RHOSPscaffold_6, whole genome shotgun sequence.
GUCUCCAUAGCUCAGUGGCAGAGCGGCAGACUGCAAUGACCUGUGUAUCUGUAGGUCGCCGGUUCGAUCCCGGCUGGGGACU